UACGUAGGGUGCGAGCGUUGUCCGGAAUUACUGGGCGUAAAGAGCUCGUAGGUGGUUUGUCGCGUUGUCCGUGAAAACUCACAGCUCAACUGUGGGCGUGCGGGCGAUACGGGCAGACUGGAGUACUGCAGGGGAGACUGGAAUUCCUGGUGUCGCGGUGGAAUGCGCAGAUAUCAGGAGGAACACCGGUGGCGAAGGCGGGUCUCUGGGCAGUAACUGACGCUGAGGAGCGAAAGCGUGGGGAGCGAACAGG
rnacentral:rRNA from 1 species